rfam:Beta vulgaris subsp. vulgaris Bvchr8.sca014.con0055.1, whole genome shotgun sequence.
AGCCUGUUAGCUCAAUUAGUAGAGUAUUAUGUAUGCAAAUACACAAAAAUAUAGGUUCGACUCCCAUACAGGCUC